UGGAAGACAUGCGCUCGGGUGGUGAAGAUGGGCUGUUCUCUGCAAUAAGAGAGUGGGCGUAUAAUAGAAUUGCACAUAGAGAACACCCAAGAAAAUCAACUGAAAAAGAUAUCACCAAGGUGGCCUCAAGAAUUGAUAGGAUCCCAGCCACAAGUGAAGGCCUUACUCAGGGAAGUCACAACGGGUUGCUCGUCCAUACAGGAUCAAGGACAGGUUGGCCUGUUGGCCAGACGCCCAGCACAAACAGCUCAGCCCAGUGAGGGAGAGUCAUUAGAUGAAGAAAUGGAAGCUCAAAGAAGGUCAGCACAUUGCUCCAGUCACACAGGCAGUGAAUGGCCAGGCAAAGACUGGGUCCAAGGUCCCUGUUCUUGACCCGCAUACUUCACUACUUCCCUUAGGCAACACUCUCUGCCUAAAUGCCCUGUUCCUCAUUUUGUCUGCCUGAGAAACCCCUCUUUAUCCUUCAAGAUUUAGCUUGGAUGUCACCUCCUUCAGGAAGCCUUCUCUAACUUCGUACAGAGUUAAGCAUCUAUCUACGUUCAUAUUUCAAUAACAGGCUUAUUUCAUUGCCCUAAUUACCUGCUCACCAGCCAUCUCCCUCAGGAAGGCAGGGACUCUGUCUUACGACCUGUCUUCCUGGUGUCUAGCCCAGAGAAGGUACUCAACAUUCAGGUGAUGGUCAUUGGCCAAAGGAUCAAGAAAGGUAAAAGAGCUGACGAACUGAUGAAGGGUGAUCAGAAAGGAAUUCAGAUCCAUACGAGUAAGGAUGGGAGUCCAGAGACAUACAGGGACCCUGAAACUACUGACUAGUCCACAUGGCCCCUGGUACAACAUCCUCCAAUGCCCAUCCAUUGGGCAGUGUUUACGUGAUGUCCAACUUCUCCACUAGCCUGUAAGCAUCCUAGAGCCACCGAUGUCCAUCACUGUGUUCCGAGCACCCACGACAAUGCCUGACACAGGUAGGUCACUGCUGAAUGAAUGAGCGAAUGCAUAUACAAAUAAUCAAUGAGGAGCUCCCUGACCAGCAACACAAAUCCCUAGUCUGAUGCCACAAUGGGGAGAAACCACUUAACUUUGUCCACACUUGCACCUCCCUGUAAAAGCAACGAGUUGGCAGACCGGUUUUCUUGUUGAUAUACAUGGGUCAGCUCAUUCUCCCGGCCUUCCCGAUCCUCUGGCUGGCGACAUUCCUCCACCCACACCACCUGAGAGGCUUAGCAAUAUGAGGCAACAUUUCACAGGGUAAGCCUCGGAUUGCCUGAGUCACCUGAUGACUGGAAGCCAACUCUGGCACUGCUCAGGACUGGGAGCAGAGUGACUGGGUCGUCUGGAAGGCAGCCACACAGUGGCUGAAGACUCAGAGAGUGCCCAAGGGGAUUAAGGAUGAGGGAAUGGAAGCACAUGUCAUCCCCAACCACCUAACUCCAGACGGUGCCCAAAGGGCCAACUUCCCACCCAAAGAAGAAAUGAUGGCAGUGGUAAUGAUAAUGAUGAUAAACUUGGCCAUCAUUUACUAUUUAUGUGUCCGGCAUUGUGCUAAAUGCUCUAUACACAUUUUCUAUUUAAUCACCUCAAUCAUUUAAUAGAUGAGGACAGUAAAGCUUAGAGAGAGAAAAUAUGUCAUCUAAGCUCACACAGCCAGUGAGGGUGAGGAGGGCUGGGGCUUGAGCUGUAUGUGCUUAACCAGCCUUCCCAGCUCCCACAACCAACGGUGCUCCAUGACAAUGCAGCUGAGACAGCUGAGUCUACGCUCAGUCCACUUGGAGGAGUUAGAGAGCUCUUCCUCAUACCAAGUGAGCUGAAAUAUGUCUUGAUGCCACCUCCACUGGGAGCUCCUUUUCCUUGUCUUUGGAGCAUCCUGGAAGAGGCUCCAUUCCUUUUCCCCAUGAGGACUCUCUCUGUCACCAGCUCCCACAGGACACAAGCUAAAACAACUCUUCGUUUUUCCAUUUAUCUAAAAACUCCAAUUAAAAGCUUUCCCAAUUAGAGAUCCCAAAAAGGAUCCAUUGCCCAGGCAGUGGGGUCUGCAAUAUUCCUCACUCAUCAGGUCCCUGUGGAUACCGCCCACCCCAUAACCCACAGACAAGAUUACCCGCAGAACAAAAGGAGGACUAAAGGCAGACUGGACUUGGCCUGCCCCUCACUGGUGAUCUGGACAGAGAUUUCCCCAGGCAGGGCAAAGAAAGGGGCCUCCUAGAGCCCCUGCAUAGCUGGGACCCGCCCUCACUUCGGCCCUCCUUUGACUGGGAGCCACUUGUGUACUCAAGAGCUUCUUUUUAAUACACGGCUCUCACCCUGACUCCUCUGGCUAGUGGCAAAGCCUCAUCCUAAGCUUGUCUGCACAGGGGUGGGGACUCUACCAUCUCCAAUUCCUCAGAGGAAUAAUAAUAAGACUAUCAACCAGGCUUAUGAAUAAAAAUUUUUUUUUUAAAUCUCUCUAGUCUUUGACAAAUGUCUAAAUGUGUUCCCCACAAGCAUAUUUUUAUUCUAACAAGCUAAUUUGAAAUAUAAUUUAAAUAAAUUCUACCAGAAUGAUACCAUAUGACUAACAGCACCCCGGUGGCAGAACUACUGGAGUCUUCAUCAUGCAUUCAGAGGCUCCCAUCCUGCCGUUCUUCCCACACAAAACGCACCCCGCUAGGAAACUGGAUCAUGAUGCCAGCUCUCACCUCCAAACCUAUAAAUACGACUUGGGGGCAGUCUGUGUGCACAAUACCUAGAAAAUGCAGACACAUAACAAGCAGUGCUUAAAAGACCAGUGGAUCAAAACCAAUGCAAAUUAGAAGCUUUAUGCCCCAAUUCCUCACAAUGCUUCUUUUUGCUCAAUUUAUUUUCACCCUGGGGGGAAAAAACAAAGUCUAACUCUCAAGAUCUAUAAAGUCAGGACUUGAUACACCACAGAUUUCUAACAUUCAGAAAAAUGCCUUUUCUCUAUUGUAAAUAUGCUAUUUGACUGCUGUUCACGUUUGACAAAGGUGAAGAAGGUUUUUCUUGUCAAAUGGAAAAGGGGUCCCUGCCCUCAGCCCCACCCCGUGUAUCAAAGAGAAGUUCUUUAUCCAAAGGUUUUAGAUGUUUGUGCAGGCUGUGGUGACAUUUCAGUGGAUUUGCCCACGGUUUUUUUUUUUUAAAUUUUUAAUUUCCCUUCAUACUAAAACAGGAAAUAUAAUGUCCUUCCUUUUGUAUACAUCCCUGCCAACUGGCUCACUGGGGGAAUUCUCUUUGAAGGAGGGGGUGUGAUAUACACCAAAGAACCUUCAAAGCAGAAGGGGGCCUUCGAGGUAUGGGCAUGGGUGCUUCCUGCUUGCAAAGAGCCUUCUCAUCCAAGUCUUAAAGCAGAAUUACUCGGCCCUGAUAUUUCCAAACAAGGAGAAACAAUUUGAGCAGCUGGGUCUCGGUCCACCAACCAACCUUAGCAACAACGAUGAAUCCUUGAUGUUCUUACCAAGAUUCACUAAGGAGCCGUGACUCACCCAAAUGACACAGGCACUGCAAAUUACCCAAUGUUAAUUGUGAUCUUGGUCUCCUCUACCAUUUCUUUCCUUCAGUAAUUCAUUUAAAGCAAACAACUGCUUUAAGAAAUUGUUAAAAUGUCUUAAAAAAAAAAAAAAAAAGAGCCUGUCUUGUUCCAGAAAGGAUUUAAAUAGGUUUACAAAGAUGUAUAAGAUUUAGCAAAAUGACAAAUUAGAAGUAGGUGUGGAUUUAAAUGAUGAGGUAUUUUUAUAGUUAUUGGCAUGUAAAGAUGUCCACUCAAGAUAUUUUAAGUUGGAAAAAUUAUGUUACAAGACAGAUGUAUAAAAUGAUUGCAUUUUGUUAAAAAUAGACUUGCUCUAUGUAGACAUACAUCUAGACACACACAGACAUAUAUACAUGGAAAAAAGUACAAAGGCAGACAUUGAAAUGCUGAUGGAGGUUAUCCCUAAGACGUGGGAUGACAAGUAAUUUUCACUUCCUUCUUUAUGCUGUUAUUUUUCAGUAUAAACAUGUAGUUUUUUUAUAAUUAGAAAAAAGCAAAGCUAUUUUCCUUUUGUUAAAAAAAAAAGAAAAAGAAA
rnacentral:lncRNA from 1 species